rnacentral:rRNA from 1 species
GACGAACGCUGGCGGCGUGCCUAAUACAUGCAAGUCGAGCGGACCACUUCGGUGGUCAGCGGCGGACGGGUGAGUAACACGUGGGCAACCUGCCUGUAAGACUGGGAUAACACCGGGAAACCGGUGCUAAUACCGGAUAAUCCUUCUCUUCUCAUGAAGAGAAGCUGAAAGACGGUUUCGGCUGUCACUUACAGAUGGGCCCGCGGCGCAUUAGCUAGUUGGUGAGGUAACGGCUCACCAAGGCAACGAUGCGUAGCCGACCUGAGAGGGUGAUCGGCCACGCUGGGACUGAGCCACGGCCCAGACUCCUACGGGAGGCAGCAGUAGGGAAUCUUCCGCAAUGGACGAAAGUCUGACGGAGCAACGCCGCGUGAGCGAUGAAGGCCUUCGGGUCGUAAAGCUCUGUUGUCAGGGAAGAACAAGUACCGGAGUAACUGCCGGUACCUUGACGGUACCUGACCAGAAAGCCACGGCUAACUACGUGCCAGCAGCCGCGGUAA